rnacentral:lncRNA from 1 species
GCCGCACCACCUAUUACACGAGAUCUGAUUGUGGAGAUACAGAGAGAGAUCGGAAAAGGGCUUCGAAUCGGAAACGGAAAAGGAAAAGAAACUACUGUUCAAGACCUUUUCUACUAUUGUUUCGGAUCGGAACUAUUCCGGUCAGCCUUUUUCUCUCUCUUACACACAAUUUCGUAUUUUGUGUUUUAUAUGGGUUUGUUUUUGAUGGAUGUGUUUGUUUAUUGACUAUGAUAAUCGGAUUAAUGGUUUUGGUGGAGUUUUAAUGGAUUAGAAUGUGUUCAAAUUCUGUACAGCUUUGAGGGGGUUGAGCUCAUUCACGAUCUUAUUUGUUUUCUGAGUUGUGGGUUUGGGAGUAACAUCUGUAAAAAUCCAUUCAGAAGACUAGCUUGUUUAUUCAGUCGAAAAAUUGUGGCUUAUUCGGUAAGAAGAAAUUGGACCAUUCAGAUCUUAAAAAAUGAUAAUCAAACAGACUGAAUGAUUGAAUCGCUCAGAUUCAAUGUCAUUCAACUUUAUUCAGACCAAAACAAACAUCGCCUUAAUAAUUCUUAUCUAGUAGUAGUAUAUCAGUCUAAUCUCUCUCUCUCUCUCUCUCUCUCUCUCUCUCUUCAUUUUUGUACGUAAUAAUCGCUUUCUAAGUCCCAAAGUGAUUUUGACAAGUCAAAGAAUAGUGUUACUACUAAACAUACCCUGGCCUGCCUGCCUGCCUGCCUCUCUCUAAAGUAGCAUUAGCAUUAGCUUAGCUUUGCUUUGCACAUACUCUCUCUUUGAUUAUUGGAUUGGAUUGGAUUAACAGGUGAGCGUUUGUGACAAACACCUAUAUAUUAUACGCACAUCACGGCAUUAUUUUACACGCAUCAAUUGAUGCAUUGCUAAAUCAAAUUGGACAAGAGGCCGGAUAGAUAGAAUUUAUUAGGAAUUCAUUCAUAUUUCAUACACAUACAGAUACA